CCGGAACCACCCAGCAAGUAUUCUAGAAGUUUCUUCCUUGACCAUAAUGCCAUCCCUUUCCAACUCUAUUAGAAACUCUAAUGCUGUAUUUAGCAUGUUUUCCUUUUCAUAAGCAACAAGUACUGAAGAUAUGCAUUUAUCAGUAGGUUCGAUACCUGCUCUUUUCAUAUUUUCAAAUGCAAUUCGAGCUUUUUGACUUUGACCAGCCAUACUGUAGGCAUAAAUAAGAAGACUGCACAUUUUAUCAUCUGGGAUAAUACCGGCCAGCUGAAUUGCAUCAAAGACCCUUUGUGCACCUUCUGCGUUAUCAGUAGGUUGAAAAUCAUGGAAUCAUAGGGAGAAAGAUCAUAGAUGUAAGCAAGAGAGCAAGCAUAAGAGUACUCAUGUGGGAGAUACUCAUAGAGAUCCAUAUUGGAAUGAAAAUAUUUGAUUAAAAGAUGAUGAAUGAGUACAAUAGUGUUCCUAUAUAUAGAGAUUAGUUUGAGUAACUAACUCUAACUAACUUCUAACCAAACUACUAACUCUAGUUUACUUAUCAACUAACUAUAGUUGAUUACAAUUACUCUAGUCUAACUACCUUAACUAACUACACAUAACUUCCAACUAUUUUAACAGCCUCCCUCAAACUCAAAAUGGGGAAAUUCACCAAUUUGAGCUUGGAAUACAAUGAAAGUACAAUUGGAAUUUAUAUACUAUAAAAGACUAAGGGAAACAGGGGUGUAAGCUAGUAAAAGACACGAAAUAACAGUGAAAAAACAGCAAAUCCCAUAUUGAAGCCUAAUGAUUUUGAGGAAUCCCAUGCCUAAAUGAAAAUUGUGCCUUUGUUUGGAAACUGAUGGCGGCACCACCCAUUCAUCUUCUGCUUUGUAAAUUCUGGAACACGCCUCACUAAGCAAAAAAAUAACUAUCUGCAAAACACGCUUCUGAACAGCUUAUACAAACGCGUGUUUCCAAUAAGCGCUUUUCCAAAUCAACAUUUCUAAGAUGCAGUUUUGCAAGGACUUCGAGACUAACUUGUAGCAAACGCGAUUCUGAUAACAAAGUUUUGCAAAUGCGAUCUUCCUCUGAGAAUUGGAACAAGACUUUCUUUCCCAAACGCGCGUUUCCAAAAGUAUUCUUGUGUAAUAGCGAUUCUGCAACUGCAAAUAUGAAAACAUACAGAAAGCACAGUUUCAUCCAAAAUUGCUUGUCGCUACCAAACAUGAUUCAAACGUAAUCAUGCAAACCCAAACGCACUUCUGUAAAUGUAAAGAGAGCCAGAAAUUCAGACUGAGACCACAACAAAAACGGCUUCUUCCAAAGACACGCUUCUGGAACAGAAUUCGGAAAAUGCGAAUGAGGAACCUCAGAUGAUUGGAAAACAUGCAACAAAAAUGGCUUUUGUUUCUUGGCAUAGCUGUGACUUUAGAAAGUUUGAGAAUUAAGGUAGGAUUUUGGUUUGAAAAGAGAUUAUGAAGAAGGAGUUUCAUCUGAAUCCGUAUAUGCCUCCCUCGAUCCCAAGGUAUCCACCAUAAACGCGAACAUGUGUGAAGAAGUACUUUGCGAACAACACAUACCAUAAUCAAGGAAAAUGCACCGCCGGGAUCGAAUACGAAAUCAGAACAGCAUAAGCUUGCUGCAGAAAAAUCUGAAAGAAAAGUUACCAUGGCGUUGGUUGUGCACGCACUCAUCAUCUCAGACAAUUGCAUCACCAUUGCAGCAAGUUGCACUCUUUUCUUGAUUUUCUUACGAUGCAAGAAUUGAUCGAUGUUGUUUCCAUGUUGACAUACGAUUGAAGAAGAUGAACCUUGAAAUUCCACAUUCGAGCUUUGUUGUUCAGCCACUGUAACAGACUCAGAAACCAAAAGAAAACAAUCAAUUUCACCAAUCUUGAACAAUUUUCCUUCAAUUGAAGGUGUAAUCAUCGUGAUCAGAGACACUGGAAUAGCAUCGGAAGCUUGACCGAAACUACCAAAGAUGAUGUUAGAAUCUGGAACUGUGACGAAAUCAGAAGAAACGAAUUCUGCUGAAGAAGCUUCAUCGGGAUCUUCAUCAGAAACUGCAAUUGCAGCGGAAUCUUCAACUGAAACUGCAUCCUCAUCGGAAUCAUCAACGGAAGCGUCAUCUUCAUCUUCCUCCCUAGGGUAUCGCUCUGAUACCAUGUUGAAAAUCAUGGAAUCAUAGGGAGAAAGAUCAUAGAUGUAAGCAAGAGAGCAAGCAUAAGAGUACUCAUGUGGGAGAUACUCAUAGAGAUCCAUAUUGGAAUGAAAAUAUUUGAUUAAAAGAUGAUGAAUGAGUACAAUAGUGUUCCUAUAUAUAGAGAUUAGUUUGAGUAACUAACUCUAACUAACUUCUAACCAAACUACUAACUCUAGUUUACUUAUCAACUAACUAUAGUUGAUUACAAUUACUCUAGUCUAACUACCUUAACUAACUACACAUAACUUCCAACUAUUUUAACAAUUGCAUUGCACAUUAAAAUGGCUAUAAUACAUUGAGAACAAGAUUGGUUCCUCAGGGGCAUUGGUCAUACAAAACUUCGAAUAAAUUAUAAUGCAGUACCUCUACAUUAGCUUAUUUGGUGACUGGUAGUGGUUGCAAAGUCUCUUAAAACAAGCUCUACCUCUUCUACCACCCCGAGUUUCCGGAACCACCCAGCAAGUAUUCUAGAAGUUUCUUCCUUGACCAUAAUGCCAUCCCUUUCCAACUCUAUUAGAAACUCUAAUGCUGUAUUUAGCAUGUUUUCCUUUUCAUAAGCAACAAGUACUGAAGAUAUGCAUUUAUCAGUAGGUUCGAUACCUGCUCUUUUCAUAUUUUCAAAUGCAAUUCGAGCUUUUUGACUUUGACCAGCCAUACUGUAGGCAUAAAUAAGAAGACUGCACAUUUUAUCAUCUGGGAUAAUACCGGCCAGCUGAAUUGCAUCAAAGACCCUUUGU
rnacentral:lncRNA from 1 species